UACGGAGGGUGCUAGCGUUGUUCGGAAUUACUGGGCGUAAAGCGCACGUAGGCGGCUUUGUAAGUUAGAGGUGAAAGCCCGGGGCUCAACUCCGGAAUUGCCUUUAAGACUGCAUCGCUAGAAUUGUGGAGAGGUAAGUGGAAUUCCGAGUGUAGAGGUGAAAUUCGUAGAUAUUCGGAAGAACACCAGUGGCGAAGGCGGGUCUCUGGACAGUUCCUGACGCUGAGGCACGAAGGCCAGGGGAGCAAACGGG
rnacentral:rRNA from 1 species